GCAGUGGUUAAGAAUCCGCCUGCCAGUGUCCCAUGCCAGAGCAAACUGGCCCUGAACCAUUGCCUGGCCUCUGCCCGUAGGCUGCAGGCACUGAAGCGGGUUGCACAGUG